rnacentral:other from 1 species
CACUGCCUGGAUUAUCCGCCAGCUGGAUAUGUCCUCGAGCCGAUACUUAUACUGCCGGCAACUUAAUGUGGCUGAUGUGUGCAGGUCCUGAGCGAAAGCGACAGGAAAGCCUUAUUCAGCCCUGCGGUUGCCACCUUGAACCAUCGGGUUCAAGGGCUACAUCCAGUAACGGUAAUUCGGGUAGCUU